rnacentral:rRNA from 1 species
CCUACGGGGGGCAGCAGUGAGGAAUAUUGGUCAAUGGCCGCAGGGCUGAACCAGCCAAGUCGCGUGAGGGAUGAAGGUCCUAUGGAUUGUAAACCUCUUUUGUCAGGGAGCAAAGGCCGCCACGCGUGGCGCUUUGCGAGUACCUGAAGAAAAAGCAUCGGCUAACUCCGUGCCAGCAGCCGCGGUAAUACGGAGGAUGCGAGCGUUAUCCGGAUUUAUUGGGUUUAAAGGGUGCGCAGGCGGAAUGUUAAGUCAGCGGUAAAAUUUCGGGGCUCAACCCCGUCGUGCCGUUGAAACUGGCGUUCUUGAGGGAGCGAGAAGUAUGCGGAAUGCGUGGUGUAGCGGUGAAAUGCAUAGAUAUCACGCAGAACUCCGAUUGCGAAGGCAGCAUACCGGCGCUCAACUGACGCUGAUGCACGAAAGCGUGGGUAUCGAACAGGAUUAGAUACCCUGGUAGUC